rnacentral:rRNA from 1 species
AUUUGAUCUGAAAUCAGGCGGAUACC